GCAAUGGGGGAAACCCUGAUCCAGCAAAAUAGUUUGAGUGUAAAGAUGUAUUAUCAUGAAACUCUAAAGAGAAGGAAGAUAAUGACCGUACUUCUCUAUUAAUCCUGACUAAUUUCGUGCCAGCAGUCGCGGUAAUACGAAAAGGAUAAGCGUAAUUCAACUUUAAUAGGUGUAUAGGGUAUGUAGGCGGUCUCAUCAAAAUCGAUUUCAAAAGAUUAAAAAUCAAAUCGGAGUUUCCUAUCUCUGACUAUAGAUGAUGACUAGAGUGUCAUAGAGGAAAGAUCAAUUAAAAAAUUAGCGAUGAUAUGCUCAUAAUUUUUUAGGAAGGCCUAGGGCAAAAGCUUCUUUCUAAUUUUACACUGACGCUCAGAUACGAAAGUGUGGGUAGCAAAAAGGAU
rnacentral:rRNA from 1 species